GAGACAUCCGAAGUCAGGCUGAUCGACUUCGGAUGCGGGGACGUUCUGGGGAGUUCACCGUUCAGGACAUACCAUGGCACGGUGGAGUACUCUCCUCCUGAGUACCACCGCAGUGGAGAGUACAACGGCUGGCCGGCGACGGUCUGGUCACUAGGGAUCGUAAUGUUCACAUUGUUGUGUGGACAUUUCCCUAGUGACCAUGACCUGUUCCUGCUGCAGCACAAGAAGUGGUCCAAAGCCGGCCUGUCGCGGGAGUGCUGUGACCUCCUCGGGGUUCUCCUCCACGAGAAGCCAGUCCGGCGACUUGGUCUGGGGCAAAUCAGGUCCCACAACUGGUUCACGGUCAUCUUGUAGGACCACUCCAGUCUGCGUCUCUCUUGCAGCUUUGCGUCUUGCGGGCUGCAGCGGGAAGCGCUUCCAUCCCUCCUC